GACGAACGCUGUUGGCGUGCUUAACACAUGCAAGUCGAACGGAAAGGCCCUGCUUUUGUGGGGUGCUCGAGUGGCGAACGGGUGAGUAACACGUGAGUAACCUGCCCUUGACUUUGGGAUAACUUCAGGAAACUGGGGCUAAUACCGGAUAGGAGCUCCUGCUGCAUGGUGGGGGUUGGAAAGUUUCGGCGGUUGGGGAUGGACUCGCGGCUUAUCAGCUUGUUGGUGGGGUAGUGGCUUACCAAGGCUUUGACGGGUAGCCGGCCUGAGAGGGUGACCGGCCACAUUGGGACUGAGAUACGGCCCAGACUCCUACGGGAGGCAGCAGUGGGGAAUAUUGCACAAUGGGCGGAAGCCUGAUGCAGCAACGCCGCGUGCGGGAUGACGGCCUUCGGGUUGUAAACCGCUUUCGCCUGUGACGAAGCGUGAGUGACGGUAAUGGGUGAAGAAGCACCGGCUAACUACGUGCCAGCAGCCGCGGUGAUACGUAGGGUGCGAGCGUUGUCCGGAUUUAUUGGGCGUAAAGGGCUCGUAGGUGGUUGAUCGCGUCGGAAGUGUAAUCUUGGGGCUUAACCCUGAGCGUGCUUUCGAUACGGGUUGACUUGAGGAAGGUAGGGGAGAAUGGAAUUCCUGGUGGAGCGGUGGAAUGCGCAGAUAUCAGGAGGAACACCAGUGGCGAAGGCGGUUCUCUGGGCCUUUCCUGACGCUGAGGAGCGAAAGCGUGGGGAGCGAACAGGCUUAGAUACCCUGGUAGUCCACGCUGUAAACGGUGGGUACUAGGUGUGGGGUCCAUUCCACGGGUUCCGUGCCGUAGCUAACGCUCUAAGUACCCCGCCUGGGGAGUACGGCCGCAAGGCUAAAACUCAAAGGAAUUGACGGGGCCCCGCACAAGCGGCGGAGCAUGCGGAUUAAUUCGAUGCAACGCGUAGAACCUUACCUGGGUUUGACAUGGAUCGGGAGUGCCCAGAGAUGGGUGUGCCUCUUUUGGGGUCGGUUCACAGGUGGUGCAUGGCUGUCGUCAGCUCGUGUCGUGAGAUGUUGGGUUAAGUCCCGCAACGAGCGCAACCCUUGUUCACUGUUGCCAGCACGUUAUGGUGGGGACUCAGUGGAGACCGCCGGGGUCAACUCGGAGGAAGGUGGGGAUGACGUCAAGUCAUCAUGCCCCUUAUGUCCAGGGCUUCACGCAUGCUACAAUGGCUGGUACAGAGAGUGGCGAGCCUGUGAGGGUGAGCGAAUCUCGGAAAGCCGGUCUCAGUUCGGAUUGGGGUCUGCAACUCGACCUCAUGAAGUCGGAGUCGCUAGUAAUCGCAGAUCAGCAACGCUGCGGUGAAUACGUUCCCGGGGCU
rnacentral:rRNA from 1 species